CCUGCCUCCUCACACAGGACAUUUCUGUUCAGUGAGACUGAUCCCCAAGGACUGUCUCUGCUCUCAGUGUGAUGAAGGGGAAAUGGAUCCUAGCAGAUCGGAUUAGGUCAUGAGGCACGCACCCUUGGAAGACAGUGAGGUAAUUCUCGGGAAUCUCUGGUUAGUUCUUUUGUUUUGUUUUCCAAGACAGGGUUUCUCUGUAUAGCCUUGACUGUCCUGGGAUUCUCUCUGUAGACCAGGAUGGCCUCAAACUCAUAAAGAUCCGUCUACCUCUGCCUUCUGAGUGCUGGGAUUAAAGGCGUGCACCACCAUCGCCCGACCCUGGUUAGUUCUUAUAAGGGAGUUGUCAUAAAGAGAGCAAGUCUGGCCCCUCCACUUCUCUUUGUCUCCCCACUGCCUUUCACUAUGGUGAGAUCCACCAUGAUGCAAUAUAAGGAAGAGGAUCCUGCCAGAGCUAAGGCAGUGCAGGCACCAUGCCCUUGGUACAGCCAAACUGUGGCCGAGUGAGCUUCUCUUCACAUACAAUUCCUCUAGAUAUUUUUCCUGUAAUGUAAGAGCCAGAGUAACUCUCCAGAUGUUCUCUCAGAUGACAGGUCUCGAAUAUCCUUCAAGCAGGACCGUCAAGUCCCCUCAUUAACACUCUUGCUCUGUCAUCCCCCACCCCUACCCCCAGGAGUUCAAUGCUACGCACUGUAGAACUUGGGUGGGGACAGGAGUACAGGGUCCUGACCCUCAAUGAAUGGUUGGCCCAAGAGUCGGGGCCAGAAAGUGGCUGAGCUGAGAGGGUGAGAAGUGCCUUUCCAAGGAGCUGCACUUCCUGCCCUGAGCACCUGUCUGCUCCCCACACCUCUUCCAAGACCACAUCUUUCCCAUUCAUGGCAAACACAGCAGUUUAAGGCCUUAUUUCCUGGACUUCAGGUGGGGGUGGGGGCACUGGGAACAGCUGGCCACCAUUCAGUUAAUAACAAGGCUCCAAGCCCUGAAGACUGUUAUUAAAGCUCCCCCCUCUCCUUCUCCAGGCGAGGGAGUUGGCAAAGUGCUCUGAGCUCUUUGAAAAAAUAAGGUUCUCCACAAAUAUAAAGUACUUAUUAUUUUCAGUUCCCCUCAGAUCAAAUUAGGUGUCAAGUUUUAAUCUAUCACCUGACACCUCUGAUUGCUGGUUGCCAAGGCAGAAUGACUUAGCUUUUCAAGAAUGGGGGGAAUAAUUGCGUCUAUGAUGCUCCUUUGCCACACCUUCAACACACAGUCAAGCAUUUGGCACAGCCUCCUACACUUGCUCCUGAACCCUGAGCCAUGGAACUGGAUGCCUUUCCUGGUCUAGCCUCUCAGGUCCGGUCCAAACAGCUUCUCAUGAAGGAACAGGCAAGGUCCUGAGUGGAGUCAGCAGGACCCCACAAGGUACACAGAAGCAAGGGUUCUAUACCCCGCGUUCUCAUGGAGUGUGGGAGACCAGGAAGUCACUCCAAGUGACAGAGGCGAGCCUGAAGAAAAGCCCAGUGUAUGUUGCUGAGUGGAGCCAUAUCUGCUGCUCUGGACAAGGGGUUGGCCAGAACUCUGGGUGGGUGCCGUGACCUUGGGAAACUGACUCUUCCUAAAAAAGGAACUUACUUUGGUGGCUGGUGUAACGGUUGCUCAUCAACUCCCACACAGGACAAGGCAAGGCACCCUGGGCUAGAGAACUUGCCCUAGAGAACCCGCUGCUGCUCUGGUGGGUUUGUGCCCCACAAUAAAGGACCUUUAGUUUUCCCUCUUCCUAAAUUGUGGAAGUUUCCUGAAAUGUGUGGUGGCCUCCUGGGAAGUACAAAUGGGUGAGUUUUCUUCUUCACCAGAGCCUUCUAUCUCAGGCCUGAGGUUGGAAGUGGAAGUGUAUUUGACUCCACUGUCAGGAGGCAUGUGGCUUAGAGAUGAGCCUGGGGACUCAAGCGGCAUCUUCCCUGUCACCAUGAGCCCAUGACAGAACCCUGACUUGCGGACCCCACACUGGAGCACCCUCCAGGAAAGCCAGCCUGUCUGCCUACAGCCAUUACAGUACCACAGUUAGCGCACUGGUUUCCCCUAGAAGGAUAGCUAGGUCACACUGUCCUGGGUUUGCAUCCAGUGCCUACCCGGCUUCCUUUCACGUCUGAUGCUUUGUAUUGGGAUGGACUCAGUCUCUGUGUAGAGUAACAUAGGAGGCAAGGAUGAGAUGCCACAGCCCAAGAAAAGACCUGCCAGGAAGUACAGGGCACUGAAGCAUGUGGAAGACACCGAGGGUAGGAAAGGUGAUGGAGGAGCCAGUUCAGGAUGAGAGGAAAAGGCUGAAUCUUCCCCAGGAAAGGCCCUGGGGCUUGGGAAGCUCGCCUAGAGAACCAGUUUGUCAGAAGCUAAUGGUCAAAGGUAGUCUGGCCAGAGACCUUGCCUUGGAAGCAGGUGGGGAACCCAUAUCAAAUCCUUUCUUUGUCACAUAAGAAAAAUCAAAGCCCAAAGGGGGAACUGUGUCCUCGUGAGGUCACAGAGCCAGUCAGUAGCAGAGUCAGGAUGAGGACCUAGGAUUUCCAGUGUCCCACUGAACCUCCCCACCCUUUCCUGCUCCCAAUUUGUGCCCACCCCUAAAGGCAGAAAAGGGACCCUACCACUCACCAGGUGCUAUGUCCAUACAAUACAACAUUGUUGGGGUACUGUGGAGAGGGGUAGACGAUGUCCUGUGGGGGGUGUCAGCACUAAUCAUGGGAAUGUGGAUAGGGUGCCUAAUCUCUCUGGACCUCAGUUUCUCAAUCUAUCAGGCUGGUCACAAUCUGAAGACAGGUUGAAAUGGUGGAUAUACGGUCACAGCCAAUGCUCAGAUCGUAAGACAACAUUGUCAAGUUCAGCUGGCUCUUCAGUUCAGCUAAAGAGGCUCAGCAAGCAUUCACUCUGUCAUCUUUUGUUGAGUGACUCAACUCGGUAGAAGCUGAAAGGUUAACAUGCCCUUGAUCCCGCCACGCACUCCAACGCCAUGUGCAGCUUUGGGUGAAACAAUCCAAAGCUUCUCUUUGAAUAAAGUAUUAUCCAUAAGUGGGAACACAUUCAGCCAUGAUUAUCUAAUGGCAGCUGAGCCUAAUACACUCCUACAGUUAAUUCCUGAUGACUUCCAGCAGAUCCAGGAUACAGGACAAGUCAAGUCAAUGUAUAAAAGAAGCCUUGCAGGGUGCUGGCUGUAGGAGUAGGCCCAUAGGAAAGGUUGGGGGUAGCAGGGCUUGGCUCUGAGGGAGUUCUUAUCAGAUCUGGGGAAGCAUGAAGGUUCAGGGCCCCACUGAUUGAAACAGGGCGGGGAGAGGAGAGGGCUGGUGAGAUGGCUCAGUGGAUAAAGACACUUGUUGUCAGUCCUGAUGACCUGAGUUCGAUCCCCAGGACCCACGUGGUGAAAGGAGAGAACCAGCUCCCACAGAUUGUCUUCUGACUUACAUCCUUGUAUUGUCAUAUGCAUGUGUGUAUGCACACACACACACACACACACACACACACACACACACAGAGAGUAAUGCAUUACCUGCAUACAUACAUACAUACAUACAUACAUACAUACACGAUGUAUUAUUUAUUUAUUUCCUUAAAGUGGGGCAGAAGUAGCACAAGCUAAGUGGGGGCUCACAGAGGGGACCAUGACACCAUGACAGAACCCUGACUUGCAGAGCCCACACUGGAGCACCCUCCAGGAAAGCCAGCCUGUCUGCCUCAACCCCACCUUUUGUCAACCUCAACUCCCUAAAUACAAAACUGGAACUAUGAAGCACUCACCCCACCUCACCCCACCCCUCUCAACCCCACCCACACACCGUGAGCUUAGCAGCCUAGCAGUGCCAGGGGAGAUGGGCUUCUCCAUGUUCCUGCUAGCCCACCACUCAACAGCCAGUGCCUACAUUCCUCCCACUAGCCCUUCAUUCCCUCCUUGAGCAGAGAACUCACCCACAGUAGCCGCCAUGCCCGGGGAGAAGCGGGCCUCACAGAGCCGCCUCAGGAAGGAUGUCUUCCCCACAGCAGAAUCACCCACAAACACGAUCUUGAAGAGCCGGUCGGGGGUAGAGGGAAUGCGUUCCUCCUGUGGAUGAAAGACAGUCCGACCACCUGGUGGGCGUGGCCACUAGCCCCUGCUGCUGCCAGGCUGCCUUUUAUCAUCACUGCAGUGGGGGUCUCCACUGAGACCCCAGAACCAGGGAGGCCACUUCUGCCCCAGAACGCAGCUAGCACUGGUCUUGGAGCAUGGGGCUCCUUCUAGCAUGAACAAGAGAUCGUUAGGAGAAAUAACAGCCUUUCACAUAUGUUCAUGCCUGAUAGGACUUUGGGACAAGCAGGUAGGUCCUGGCUGAUGGAGUGGAUAAGCCAGGAAUGUAAACAGUUACUGAGAGUGUGGGUUCCCAGAGCACUGGGGAUGAGCAUGAGAAGGGGCCAAAGGUCCAGAAAGCAGAGCCUUAGGGAGAAGGCAGAAUUCUCUAUAGGGGCAGGGGAAGACAAGUGUGCUGGGUUUUUUGUUUGUUUUGUUUUGUUUUGUUUUUGUCAACUUAACAUAAGAUAGGGUCAUCUGGGAAGAAGGAACUUCAAUUGAGAAAAUGCCUCCAUCGGAUUGGCCUGUGGGGAAGUCUGUAGGGCAUUUUCUUGAUUAAUGAUUGUGUGGAAGGGCUCAAUUCACUGUGAAUGGUGCCCCCUUGCACAGGUGGUCUUGGGAGCUACAAGAAAGCAGGCUGAGCAAGCCAUGGGAAGCAAGCCAGUAAGCAGCAUUCUUCAACGGCCUCUGCUUCAGUUCCUGCCUUCAGGUUCCUGCCUUGUGUUCCUUCCCUGGCUUCCCUUCAUGACUAUGAGCUAAUUCAUCACUACCUGAGAGACUUGACGUUUUCGCUGGAGGUGAGAUUGUACACUGGCCAUAGAGUAGCUGUCCAUCCAGACCUACUCCUUCUCAACCAAGGGUCAUGAACUGUCCAACAAGGACACCAAGGAUGAGGCAGAGCCUGCCACAAAGAGGAAGGUGGACAUAGUACAGGCAAGGAAGAAAUCCUGGAGAGACCCACCUUAAGAAAUCCAGCUGCUUCAGGAGGCCCGACUUCUCCCGCUGCAGACUCUCUGUCACUCGGUACACUUCCCUGAGGAGGAGGCAGACACAGCCAGACUGACAAGACACAAGCCACAUAAGGACACGGUGUGACCAAACAAGAGGAGGUCAAGUUCUUGACCUUGGUGAGAUGCGUUGAAGGCCCAAGGUACCUAGUGUGGAAUGAUUUGCAAUGACCAUUUGUCAGCUACAGCGGCCCAGUUCCCCCUUCAUCUAAGAGACAGCUUUGCCUGAGUCCCACGGACCUUGGAGAUUCUGAAGAAAGAAUCAAACCAGGUCAAACAGACCCCAUGCCUUUUCUUGCAUCCCUAAAGCUACUGAAAAAAAAUGUGCAUUUUGAUAACUUCAGCUCUUCUUGGCUGGAAAGCCAUGUGUCGGUCUGUCCAGGGCUGGAUUUCUUCCAGGACCAAGCAAACUGAGACUGGAGGCCAGUGCUACAUUCCCCCCCCCCCCCACCUCCCCACACUCCCAAGAGGUCUUUCUUCUUGCUUUCCUGAGGAGGCUGCUGAGCAAGACACUCGACCUGGCUACCUGGUACUGUGAGCCAAGUGUCCUGAGCUCUAGGUACAGCUGCCACCUUGUAGAGCAUGCCACACAGUCUGUUUCUCUGCUCAGGCACAGAGAGGGGAGUGACCGGUGUUCGCAUCUAGCUGUGUCCCAGAGGAGGUCAUGGACCCUGUCCAGGCAUCCGGGCAAUUCUUUGAAGAGCCUUUUCCAGCUGGAGUUAUCCACAGCUAUGCCAAAGAGGACAACUAUGUCUGCCCUUCCCCUUAAGCAUCAGUGUCCCACAAGUGUCUCUGCACUCCCCUGGGUCCCUCCUUUCUUCUGCAGGAUGCCUAAUCCAACUUCAAGGUUUAGCAUCCGUAAUUACCUUUGGGUAUAAUUAUGUGAAACUGUCCUCAGAUCCCUGGGGGUUGGGUGACUCAUGGGGACUUUUCUAGGUUAAACACACAAUUGUGGCUUUAUCUAGGGUCAUCUGUGACUUGGUUUUAAAAUUAAAUUUUAAAAUGCUUAAAGUAGUUUUAGCAUUUGAGACAGGGUCUCACUAUAAAGCCCAGGCUGCACUUUGAACUAGGUCCAUGAGGCAGUCCUGGAAUUCAGAAUCCUCCUGCCUCAGUCUACCCAGUGGUGUAAUUACAUGCAUAUGUCAAUAUAUCCACCUUGUGGGGACUUUGAAUGAAGACACAUG